GGGGCGGCGGCCAUCGUGGUGCUUGGGCUGGACUUGGCGGCCUGCGACGAGGCAGCCGUCGGCGCCGCGGUGGACGCGGCGUGGCGCUGCUUCGGGGACGGCGGGCUCCAUGCCCUUGUCAACUGCUGCUCCUUCGAGGGGGAAGUGCAAGAUUGCCUCAGCGUGACUGAAGAUGAGUACAACAAGACCAUGAAAGUCAAUGUAAUCACACCUUGGCUCCUGAUAAAGGCGAUAGCGAAGCGGUCCCGGGAUGCGCAGUCGGGCGGCUCCGUGGUUUGCUUGACCCAGAUCAUCGGCGCUGAGAAAGGAUUGUAUCCGGGGGCUGCGGCAUACGGCACAAGUUUAGGCGCCGUUCACCAGCUCGUCAGACUGUCGGCGAUGGAGCUCGGCAAGCACAAGAUCAGGGUGAACGCCGUCUGCCGCGGCCUCCACCUGGGGGACAAGUUCCCUCUCUCUGUUGGGGAGGAGAAGGCCGAGAAGGCGACCGGGGAGGUGAUGCCGCUGCGGCGGUGGCUGGACCCGGACAAGGACCUCGCUUCCACGGUGUUGUACCUGGUCGGCGACGACUCCCGCUUCAUGACAGGCACCACCAUCUAUGUCGACGGUGCACAGUCCAUUGUGCGCCCUCGCAUGCGUUCCUUCCUGUAG
rnacentral:rRNA from 1 species